rnacentral:rRNA from 1 species
CGACCGGGGCGACAGCAAUAUGAAGGUCAGGCUGAAGACCUUACCCGAUUAGCUGAGAGGUGGUGCAUGGCCGUCGUCAGUUCGUACUGUGAAGCAUCCUGUUAAGUCAGGCAACGAGCGAGACCCACGUCCACAGUUGCCAGCAUACCCUCCGGGGUGAUGGGUACACUGUGGAGACCGCCGCUGCUAAAGCGGAGGAAGGAGUGGGCAACGGUAGGUCAGUAUGCCCCGAAUCUCCCGGGCUACACGCGGGCUACAAUGGUUGGUACAAUGGGCAUCUACCCCGAAAGGGGAAGGAAAUCUCUUAAAGCCAAUCGUAGUUCGGAUUGAGGGCUGCAACUCGCCCUCAUGAAGCUGGAAUCCGUAGUAAUCGCGUUUCAACAGAACGCGGUGAAUACGUCCCUGCUCCUU